rnacentral:rRNA from 1 species
UCUGCCCUUUGGCGGGGGACAACGGCUCGAAAGGGCUGCUAAUACCGCAUAAGUCUAUCGACCCCCUGGGGACGAUAGGGAAAGAUGGCCUCUUCUUGAAAGCUAUCACCGAAGGAUGAGUCCGCGUAGCAUCAGCUUGUUGGUGGGGUAAUGGCCUACCAAGGCAAAGACGCUUAGCUGGUCUGAGAGGAUGAUCAGCCACACUGGGACUGAGAUACGGCCCAG